rnacentral:rRNA from 1 species
UACGAAGGAUGCAAGCGUUAUCCGGAUUCAUUGGGUUUAAAGGGUGCGUAGGCGGACUUGUAAGUCAGUGGUGAAAUCUCUUUGCUUAACAAAGAAACUGCCAUUGAUACUGCUAGUCUAGAGUAUAGAUGACGUUGGCGGAAUAUGACAUGUAGUGGUGAAAUACUUAGAUAUGUCAUAGAACACCGAUUGCGAAGGCAGCUAACGAAACUAUAACUGACGCUGAGGCACGAAAGUGCGGGGAUCAAACAGG